rnacentral:tRNA from 1 species
GCCGGGGUGGCGAAAUGGCAGACGCAGCGGACUUAAAAUCCGCCGGUGGUAGCACCGUGUGGGUUCGAAUCCCACCCGCCCCA